rnacentral:rRNA from 1 species
GAUGAACGCUAGCGGCAGGCUUAACACAUGCAAGUCGAGGGGUAUUGGUUUUCGGACCAAGAGACCGGCGCACGGGUGCGUAACGCGUAUGCAAUCUACCUUUUGCAGAGGGAUAGCCCCAGAGAAAUUUGGAUUAAUACCUCAUAGUAUAGUACUUUGGCAUCAAGGAACUAUUAAAGUCACAACGGCAAAAGAUGAGCAUGCGUCCCAUUAGCUAGUUGGUAAGGUAACGGCUUACCAAGGCUACGAUGGGUAGGGGUCCUGAGAGGGAGAUCCCCCACACUGGUACUGAGACACGGACCAGACUCCUACGGGAGGCAGCAGUGAGGAAUAUUGGACAAUGGGCGCAAGCCUGAUCCAGCCAUGCCGCGUGCAGGAUGACGGUCCUAUGGAUUGUAAACUGCUUUUAUACAGGAAGAAACACUCCGACGUGUCGGAGCUUGACGGUACUGUAAGAAUAAGGAUCGGCUAACUCCGUGCCAGCAGCC